UUCCGUUUAAGUUUCCUUUCUAAAAUGCCUUAUUAUACAAACAGCAAACUAUUUAAAGAGAGGUUUCCUGGAAUGAGUGUUACUGGUCUGGAAGGGCCUCUGAAGAGUCCAGGAAUAGGUCUGCUAACCAAAGGAAUGACCCCCUCACAGAGACCACCACUGACUGCCAUGUGAGCCGCCGUCCCUCCAGCUGCCCUCACUCCACCGGCUGCUCCCUCUCACAUCCCUCUCUGGAUUCCUUAUCACAAGCCACCCCAAUAAUGAUGCUGAAGACAGAGAACAAAGAGAAGUAGAUGAAAUGACUCACUGAAGAACACUUUUCUAAUUAGGUGCCAACUUAAGAAAACUGGGCUUAUGUCAAAGUCUGAACAUUUAUUGUGUGUGACCUUUGGCAAACUACUUCAGCUCCCUUGCCUCACAGCGUAAUUCACAUGUAAAAUGGGGACUCCCCUCAGACCUCCUUCAUAAGGUUGCUGUAUGGAUUCUGUGAGUUAUUUCAUGAGUAGUCCUGAGAACAGAGCCUGGCAUAAAGAAUAUAGAGAACAAAAGUCAGAUAUUACUUGAGAAGCAGAGUGUCAGAGAACCAGGAAUUAAAGACAUAAGCUAAUCCCCAAUCAAGCAUCUAACUGCAUCCUGCCUUUAAGGAUUGGGCCCCAGAACUUCUCAGGGAUUCUUCCAGAGAAAUCAGGAAUAACCUAUCUACUAAUGAUCAGCACCUGUGUCUUUGUGUCUGAGGCCAAGAAUAAAUUCAUCAACUGGGUAGCCACUACAGCAGAAGAAGCCAACCACAGUCAAUGUUGACUACGCGUCAAGUUGCCAGAGGCCACAGGAAAUGGACUACCUUGGAGAAUCAUCCCUGCCAACAUUUCUGAAUGGCUAUGUCACUACCAAUGGGGCCACAACAACAACACUUGCAACCCAACCUGGACUUCCUUUGACCAAAGGAAGAAAUCUAUCUUUGCCCAUGUCAGACGAAAGGUGAACACCACCCUUGCCUUGUGUCAAAAGCUUUGGUAUCCUGCCCAAUAUGCCUGGAACAGUAUAUAUUGGGAAACUGCUGUGCUGGUGGCCAGAUUCCAUAUAGCCCCCCACUUUGUCUGGAGGCCUUAAAUGGCUCCUCUAAUGUUACUCUGGGGUUUCUCCUGCCAGACAACUGUCAACACAUACUCGAAAUCAACAACAUUGUCCCCAGUGAAACACAAUCUCUUUCCUGCUUUAAUAACACCUUAAUACACUAUAAUUACAAAAAAACCAUUGCUGUACCCUGGUGGGGGCCCUGUGGGUAUGCAGAUCCUACGAGUGGCAAUACCUGCCCCCACAUUGGAUGGGGAGAUGCACUUAGAGGUGGCCAUUAAUUCCAUUCACCAUCCAGGAUAAUAUUCCCCUCCCCAGUAAUCUGGACUCCCUGGUGGUGGUACCCUAUCACAGUAUUCUCCCCUGCCACCGGUACAAUCCUGCUUCAGCAAAAAAUUAAAAUAUUAAGCUUACAUGUAGAAGAAGCUCUUAAUGAUAGUAGCAUUGGACUUAUGUUGCUAUCAAAUGAAUUUGCUCAGCUGUGUACUGUUGUGUUACAAAAUCGAAUGGCAUUAGAUAUGCUUACCGCAGCCCAAGGAGGGGUUUGUGCCUGACUGCAUACUGAAUGUUAUGUGUAUAUCCCUGAUAAUUCUCACAAUAUCACUCUCCUUGAAAAGCCAUGGUGGGUGUGGUUUUUAUUAAUUGUGCUUUUAAUUCUCCUGUGCUUAUCCUGUAUCUGUAAUCUGUAUCAACUAUGCCUUCCCCAUGUAUCUGUAAGGGUAUUUUUCUACAAUUGAGUAUCAAAUUGAGGCUGAGUGUGGAGGAAAAGUUAAAUAUUAAAUUUGAACUCAAUUGAACAUGACACAAACGAUGGUCACCAAGUCCCAGAACAGGUUGUGUGAGCCCCUUGAGGCGCUCAUCCAGUGCUGAUUCGGAGAAAUCUCUAUUUCAGUCUAUUCCUAUAUGUUAGUUAUUUAAAAAAAUAGACAAUUGCAAAAACAAGUUGACCUUUUUGUGUUCCUUGAGCCCAGUCACAAAGGGUUCUCGUGACUGGAAAUCAUGCCAAACAACUCAUUACAAAAAGAGUUAGGGUUCCAGACUGCGCAAAAGCAUCGUGAGACCUCUCCUCGUCUGUGCAUGGAUGAGUGGCCGACUCUGGAGCCCAGGCUAUUGAUUCCUGGUCUGAUGGUGAAUCCUCCAUAGUCUGGUGAGUGUAAAUAUAUAUAUGUAUACACAUAUAUGUAUAUGUGUGUGUAUAUAUAUAUCUUUUCCCUUCUCCCCUUCCCAUUGCAAUUUGCUUUUGCUUAUAUCAUUUGCUUAUUAUAUCAUUUGCUUAUUAUAUCUAUAUUGCCAUAUACUUGGGAUAAAGGCUGUCUACCCUUAAAGGUGCUGUGUGUGUGUCUUUUCUUCUCCCCUCGCACGUUUCCAGCACAGAACAAAUGACCAGGUAAUAACCCAGAGGGUUUACUGUAAUUACUUAAGCAUUCCUCUAUUAUUGGAAAUGUGAGCAAUUUCCAAUUUUUCUAUUAAAAGUAAUGGAGUGAUAAACAAUUCUAAAUAUAUUUUUGGUUCAAUUCUUUGAUUACAACCUUGCAAUAGAUUGCUGGAAGUUCAUUCUACCUUUUUAAAAAGUUAAAAUAACACAUAUUAUGCACAGUAGCUAACCCAAAGAAGCUGAAGUCCCAUUAGACUGUGAAACUUUUCCGAGGUAGAUUCUAUUCCUCUAGAUAGUAAGGAAAAUAUCCGAAAUUUGUUCCCAGCCCUAUUCAUUGAUUUCUGCAUCCAUUCAAUAAAUAUCUGAGUAACUGCUAUCCAUCAGACAAAUAAACUGUUGGAAAGCCAUUUAACCACUUUGAGACCUUGUACUCUGAUCCAUAAUAAACACCAAAUGGUCUUCACAGCUGAAGACCAUUUCCUGAUCCUUGCAAUGAAG
rnacentral:lncRNA from 10 species